GUGAGGAAUUUUCCACAAUGGGCGAAAGCCUGACGGAGCAAUGCCGCGUGAAGGAUGAAGGCCUAUGGGUUGUAAACUUCUUUUCUCAGAAAAGAAUUAUGACGGUAUCUGAGGAAUAAGCAUCGGCUAACUCUGUGCCAGCAGCCGCGGUAAGACAGAGGAUGCAAGCGUUAUCCGGAAUGAUUGGGCGUAAAGCGUCUGUAGGUUGUUUAAAAAGUAUUCUGUCAAAGAUUAGGGCUUAACCCUAGAUAGGCAGAAUAAACUUUUAAGCUAGAGUUUGGUAGAGGCAGAGGGAAUUCCCGGUGGAGCGGUGAAAUGCGUAGAUAUCGGGAGGAACACCAAAGGCGAAGGCACUCUGCUGGGCCAAUACUAACACUGAGAGACGAAAGCGAGGGGAGCAAAUGGGAUUAGAAACCCGUGUAGUCC
rnacentral:rRNA from 1 species